AUGAACGCUGGCGGCGUGCCUCAUACAUGCAAGUCGAGCGAACAGACGAGGAGCUUGCUCCUCUGACGUUAGCGGCGGGCGGGUGAGUAACACGUGGAUAACCUACCUAUAAGACUGGGAUAACUUCGGGAAACCGGAGCUAAUACCGGAUAAUAUAUUGAACCGCAUGGUUCAAUAGUGAAAGACGGUUUUGCUGUCACUUAUAGAUGGAUCCGCGCCGCAUUAGCUAGUUGGUAAGGUAACGGCUUACCAAGGCGACGAUGCGUAGCCGACCUGAGAGGGUGAUCGGCCACACUGGAACUGAGACACGGUCCAGACUCCUACGGGAGGCAGCAGUAGGGAAUCUUCCGCAAUGGGCGAAAGCCUGACGGAGCAACGCCGCGUGAGUGAUGAAGGUCUUCGGAUCGUAAAACUCUGUUAUUAGGGAAGAACAAAUGUGUAAGUAACUAUGCACGUCUUGACGGUACCUAAUCAGAAAGCCACGGCUAACUACGUG
rnacentral:rRNA from 1 species